AUGCGGACCGCUCUGCUUCUCGCGGUGUUCUCGUGCUUUUCUCUUAUCGAGGGAAAGCCAUUCGAAGAUAAAACGUGUGUUGGAAUUCGCAGAGAAGAUUCGUCCUAUGACUUUGACCUGCCCGACGCUGUGGCCGUGAACUUGCAAGACCUCACCUGUGAUGCAGAGUGGACCAUUGAUCAAUUCACAGCUAUCCUGGAUGGAAAUUCAGCAUACUUUUCACAUCCCUUCAAAAACGUAACCCGUAAUGGAAUGACUUACUGUCCAUUUUCAGUCAUAUUCCAUGCCUCUUGUCUUAAUUAUGUCAAUCACUUUACAUGUUCUUGCACCAAUUCCACCAACAUCUAUCCAGUGUUUAGCACAACUCUGCCAUCUAGAGAUGUUGCCAUUGCUGUUGCUGCCAUUUUUGUCAUAACCCUUGUCAUUUUGGCUUUCCACUCUGCAAGCACAGCGAAAUAUGCUCCUGAAGAACAAAACCAGCCUGGUUCAGUAGAAUGA
ensembl:lncRNA